rnacentral:rRNA from 1 species
UCAUAUGCUUGUCUCAAAGAUUAAGCCAUGCAUGUCUCAGUACAAGCCUGUGUAUGGUAAAACCGCGARUGGCUCAUUAAAUCAGCUAUGGUUCCUUGGAUCAUAUACCCAUACUACAUGGRUAACUGUAGUAAUUCUAGAGCUAAUACGUGCCUCGAUGCCCUGAUUCGUGAGAUGAGGGGUGCAUUUAUUAGAUUGCAAACCAAACGGGUGCAAGCCUGUGGUUUGUGAUGACUCUGGAUAACUUUGUAUGAUCGCAGUCGGCCUCGUUGUCGGCGACGGAUCCAUCAAAUGUCUGCCCUAUCAACUUUCGAUGGUAGGUGAUAUGCCUACCAUGGUGAUGACGGGUAACGGGGAAUCAGGGUUCGAUUCCGGAGAGGGAGCCUGAGAAACGGCUACCACAUCCAAGGAAGGCAGCAGGCGCGCAAAUUACCCACUCUCUGAACGAGGAGGUAGUGAAGAUAAAUAUCGAUACAGAUCUCGUAUGAGGCUCUGUAAUCGAAAUGAGUGCAUUAUAAAUCCUACAACAAGGAUCUAUUGGAGGGCAAGUCUGGUGCCAGCAGCCGCGGUAACUCCAGCUCCAAUAGCGUAUAUUAAAGUUGCUGCAGUUAAAAAGCUCGUAGUUGGAUCUGGACUGUGGUGUGGAGGCUAGCUUGUGGCUUGCAUGAUUUCGGUGAAUUCCGAUUUUGUGUCCUGUCUGCACUGGUAAUUCUGCACCUAGUCUCAUAGCUGUGUCUGUGCGAUUGUUCACUCGGUCGCAUAGAUGAUGCCGAGUUUUUGUGGCUGACCCUCGUCAUGGGGGCCAGUUGCGGCUUGGUGUCAUGCCCUGUGUAUGCUCUUAACUGAUUGUCCAGGGCGGACGGCACGUUUACUUUGAACAAAUUUGAGUGCUCAAAGCAGGCCUAUAGUUGCCUGAAAAGUCUUGCAUGGAAUAAUGGAAUAGGACUUCGGUCCUAUUUUGUUGGUUUGAUAGAUCCGAAGUAAUGAUAAAGAGAGACAGACGGGGGCAUUUGUAUGGCGGCGCUAGAGGUGAAAUUCAUGGACCGUCGCCAGACAAACUAAAGCGAAAGCAUCUGCCAAGUAUGUUUUCAUUUACCAGGAGCGAAAGUCAGAGGUUCGAAGACGAUCAGAUACCGUCCUAGUUCUGACCAUAAACGAUGCCAACUGAUGAUCCGUGGCGUCUCCAUAUAUGUGGUCCCACGGGCAAUCUCCGGGAAACCUGUAAGUCUAUGGGUUCCGGGGAAAGUAUGGUUGCAAAGCUGAAACUUAAAGGAAUUGACGGAAGGGCACCACCAGGAGUGGAGCUUGCGGCUUAAUUUGACUCAACACGGGAAAACUCACCCGGCCCGGACACUGUGAGGAUUGACAGAUUGAAAGCUCUUUCAUGAUUCGGUGGAUAGUGGUGCAUGGCCGUUCUUAGUUCGUGGUAUGAGUUGUCUGGUUAAUUCCGUUAACGAACGAGACUCCAACCUGCUAAAUAGUACACGUGUAAUUUUGUGAGGAAUUCCGCGCAGGGCAGACUCGUCUGUCUUGUAUCGGAGCCUCAUGAGCAUGUGAGACUUCUUAGAGGGACAGGUGGAUAAACAAACCACACGAAAAAGAGCAAUAACAGGUCUGUGAUGCCCUUAGAUGUCCGGGGCCGCACGCGUGCUACAAUGACGGUGCUAGAGAGUUUGCAUUUCUGGCUCGAAAGAGUUGGAUAAACUUGUCAAUCACCGUCGUGACUGGGAUCGGGGUUUGUGAUUAUCCCCCGUGAACGAGGAAUUCCUAGUAAGUACAAGUCAUAAGCUUGUGCUGAUUACGUCCCUGCCCUUUGUACACACCGCCCGUCGCUACUACCGAUUGAAUGGUUUAGCGAGGACAUUGGAUCGAUGCCUAAGCAGUGCAAGCCGCUGGGUGUUGAGAAGACGUCCGAACUUGAUCAUUUAGAGGAAGUACAA